rnacentral:tRNA from 1 species
AUUUUAAUAGCUUAUAUAGAGUAUGAUAUUGAAGAUGUCAUGGAGAUUUUUAAUCUUAGAAUA